AGAGUUUGAUCCUGGCUCAGUUCCGAUUGGAGUCUGCAAUUCGACUCCAUGAAGACGGAAUCGCUAGUAAUGGCGGAUCAGCUACGCCGCCGUGAAUACGUUCCCGGGCCUUGUACACACCGCCCGUCAAGCGAUGGGAGCUGGGGGUACCUAAAAACUUCACUUGUUGAGGUCUAAGGUAAAACCGGUGACUGGCGCUAAGUCGUAACAAGGUAACC
rnacentral:rRNA from 1 species